GAUGAACGCUGGCGGCGUGCCUAAUACAUGCAAGUCGAACGAAGAGAGAAGCUUGCUUCUCUUUUAGUGGCGAACGGGUGAGUAAUACAUAAGCAACCUACCGAUUUGACCGGGAUAACAGUUGGAAACGACUGCUAAUACCGGAUAGGUGCGCGGGGGACAUCCCCUGCACAUUAAAGCUGGGACACAGCACGAAUGGAUGGGCUUAUGGCGCAGUAGUUAGUUGGCGGGGUAACGGCCCACCAAGACGAUGAUGCGUAGCCGACCUGAGAGGGUGACCGGCCACCCUGGGACUGAGACCCGGCCCAGACUCCUACGGGGGGCAGCAGUAGGGAAUUUUCGGCAAUGGGCGCAAGCCUGACCGAGCAACGCCGCGUGAGUGAAGAAGGCCUUCGGGUUGUAAAGCUCUGUUGUAAGGGAAGAAUGGCCAAGAGAGGGAAUGCUCUUGGAGUGACGGUACCUUACCAGAAAGCCACGGCUAACUACGUGCCAGCCGCCGCAGUAACAC
rnacentral:rRNA from 1 species